rnacentral:tRNA from 1 species
GAGCCAGUAGCUCAGUUGGUAGAGCAGCGGCCUUUUAAGCCGUCGGUCGAGCGUUCGAGUCGCUCCUGGCUCA